AACGCACAUUGCGCCCCUUGGUAUUCCAUGGGGCAUGCCUGUUCGAGCGUCAUUUGUACCCUCAAGCUUUGCUUGGUGUUGGGCGUCUUGUCGUAUUACGACUCGCCUUGAAUUCAUUGGCAGCCGGCACUUUGGCCUAGAAGCGCAGCACAUUUUGCGAUCGUAGCCCGUUGUACUGGCGUCCAUCAAGAACAUUUACCACGUUUGACCUCGGAUCAGGUAGGGAUACCCGCUGAACUUAA
rnacentral:misc_RNA from 1 species